CGCGGCCUAUCAGCUUGUUGGUGGGGUAACGGCCUACCAAGGCAUCGACGGGUAGCUGGUCUGAGAGGAUGAUCAGCCACACUGGGACUGAGACACGGCCCAGACUCCUACGGGAGGCAGCAGUGGGGAAUCUUGCACAAUGGGCGAAAGCCUGAUGCAGCAACGCCGCGUGCGGGAAGAAGGCCCUCGGGUUGUAAACCGCUUUCAGAAGGAACGAAACUGACGGUACUUUCAGAAGAAGGUGCGGCCAACUACGUGCCAGCAGCCGCGGUGACACGUAGGCACCAAGCGUUGUCCGGAUUUAUUGGGCGUAAAGAGCUCGUAGGCGGUUCAGUAAGUCGGGUGUGAAAACUUUGGGCUUAACCCAAAGCGUGCAUCCGAUACUGCUGUGACUUGAGUACGGUAGGGGAGCGGGGAAUUCCUAGUGUAGCGGUGAAAUGCGCAGAUAUUAGGAGGAACACCGGUGGCGAAGGCGCCGCUCUGGGCCGAAACUGACGCUGAGGAGCGAAAGCAUGGGGAGCGAACAGGAUUAGAUACCCUGGUAGUCCACGCCGUAAACGGUGGGUACUAGGUGUGGGUUUCCUUCCUUGGGAUCCGUGCCGUAGCUAACGCAUUAA
rnacentral:rRNA from 1 species